rnacentral:tRNA from 1 species
GAAAAUACAUAUAUAUGUAUUUUCUUUGUUUGUUAAUGAGAUUUUAACAGGCGUAGGCGUUGAAAUUGAUAUCUUCCAUUACUAAUGAACUCCUAUCUACUUCCCCAAUUAUAUGUUAUAUGAGGGAUGAUGAAUCAAAUAAGGAAGGAUCCCAUUUUUUUAUAUUUUUCUAUAGUUUUUUAUAUAGAAUAGCUGGGACGGAAGGAUUCGAACCUCCGAAUAGCGGGACCAAAACCCGUUGCCUUACCGCUUGGCCACGCCCCAUUUAUAUUUUCUAUUCAACACUAAUAAAAAUUAAUAUUGGUAUUGGUUCUUCGUCAAUUCCUAUCAAAAAAUUUAGAAAAUAUAUUAGCUUGUUGUUAAGAUUUUUGUAUAUGUAGAUAUAGAAUUAAACUGAAUUUAUUGAUCAUAAUAUAUAAUUCAAUUAAGAUAUUGUAUAAAAAAUAUGAUUUCCUCUAUUCUUUUUUGAUUUGAGAAUUGAAGGAUUUUUGAUUGGGUGAGUUUAGUUUAAUAAAGAAGGGUUUUUGGUCUACCUUGCUUUAUUUUCUAUCAAUUUUUAUAUCAAUAAUAUAUUAAUAACUCAGUCAAAAUACAAUUAUUUUCAAAAAAAAAAUGCUUGUUAUGCUUAAUAUUUUUAGUUUAAUUUUUAUCUGUUUUAAUUCUGCCAUUUUUUCAAGCAAUUUUUUCUUUACAAAAUUGCCCGAAGCCUACGCCUUUUUGAAUCCAAUCGUAGAUGUUAUGCCAGUAAUCCCUGUACUCUUUUUUCUAUUAGCCUUUGUUUGGCAAGCUGCUGUAAGUUUUCGAUGAGAUCUUUAAUAUUGUUCUAGAAUAAUUCAUGAUUUAUUCGAAAAAAAAAAAAUUAUAACAAUUGAUAAGAUCAGAUAAGUCUUAUAGUAUAAACUCUUAAUUCAAACAUUGAAGUUAUUGUAUAAACGCGAGAAUUCUGGAUCAUCCCACUUUUUCUCAUUCUGAACUUUUUUUUCCAUUCCAGAUCCUAUUAGAGCCCUAAUUGUAGUUAUGAAAAAAAACAUCUAAAUUUAGGUAUGAAAGAAAUUUUUUGGCAAUGAAAGACUCGACUCUUAUUACAUACAAAUGAAUUUAACAAAAGAAAAAGUCUUUUCUAUUUCUAGAAACCACUGCAUUUCUUGGUGUUAAAAUAGAAUAUGUGGUAUAAAAAUAGAGAAUCUAUUUUUUUUUUUUUUUAAACCAAAAAAAGAUUUUGGAGAUUUUAUAAUU